CUCUCUGUGGCGCAAUCGGUUAGCACGUUCGGCUGUUAACUGUUAGGUUGGUGGUUCAAGUCUACCCAAGGACG
rfam:Danio rerio chromosome 4, GRCz11 reference primary assembly.